CCGUGCAGAAGCGGGGAUAUAAUCAUAAGACGAGAAGACCCUGUGGAGCUUUAGACACCAGGUCAGACCUUGUUCAACAUUCCUCCUAUAAAGGAUACAACCAAAGGACUCUGUCCUAAUGUCUUCGGUUGGGGCGACCCCGGAGAACACAAAACCUCCAUGUGGAAUAGGAGAACUUCUCCCACAACCAAGAGUAGCCACUCUAAGCAAUAGAAUUUCUAACCAGAAGAUCCGGCAAAGCCGAUUAACGAACUAAGUUACCCCAGGGAUAACAGCGCAAUCCUCUUUCAGAGUCCCUAUCGACAAGAGGGUUUACGACCUCGAUGUUGGAUCAGGACAUCCUAAUGGUGCAACCGCUAUUAAGGGUUCGUUUGUUCAACGAUUAAAGUCCUACGUGAUCUGAGUUCARACMRG
rnacentral:rRNA from 1 species